GGGUUUCUGGACUCGCGAAGCAGCUGCAACAAGGCAUCACUCACUGUAUAAGUAUUUCCAUUUCUGAGAGCAAAAGGAAGAACUUAAGCGGGCGGCACUUGGAGUGUAAAUUGCUUUGUAGUAUUUAAAGGCAGAAUGGAUCCUGGGCAGCCGAGCUGAUCAUGAGGUUCCUGAGGCCUCCUAGCCAUGCUUCCUGUGCAGCCUAUGGAACUCAACAAACCGGCAGGACUUCCUGUGAAAUCAUGACCACCAUGUGCUCUUUCAGCCUCUAUCAGUUCCUACCUCUAAGCACCUGAGAGCCAAAGCAAACCACAGGAAACCACAGGGCAAAUUUAUGUUACUCUGGAAGUAGAGAAAAUCAUGAUGGCAGAUCGGAGGCAGGACUAAUCUGCAACUUCCACUGAGACAGACAGACCAGUGUGUGGAGACUCACAUCAUGAACUUUUGCUCCAAGAACUACUGCAGGACCAUACCAGGAAAGCUGAGAGAAUCCACAGAAGGAUCUUGAUCACCACCGCAGGCUCCCUGAGAUGCUGAAGAAAACUUGUGAGUCUGCUUGCUUUCUCAGCAGGGAGGCUUGUGGACUGGGGCAAGUUCUCAGCCCUGGUCACUGGCUACCUGGAAAUAGACUUGGUGGUGUUGGGGAAGCACAGUGGGACUGAGAACACCCUUUAGGACUGCAGGCUGCAUAGGAGCAGGGUGAAGCCUGUGACUGCUGGCUUUCCCCCACUUGCCUGGUGACCUGUAUGACUCAGCAGAGGCAGCCAUAAUCACCCCGGGAAUAUAAAUCCAUUGGACUGGGAACCACACUCCCAUCCCCUACAGCAGCUGCAGUAAGCCCCGCCCAAGGAGAGGCUGAGCUCAGACACCCAUAUCUCUGCCCCCACUUGGUGAUCUGUCUCUACCCAUCCUGGUAGCUGAAGACAAAAAUCAUAAUCAUAAUCUCUUGGGAACUCUAUGGCCCUGCCCACUGCCUAAGAAACCUGACUACUUAACCAGGUGUGCCUAGGGCAAGUUCGCAUUUCCUUAUAGGGCUGCAGCUGAUGCACUCUCAAAAGUGCCACCUCCUGGCUAGAGGCCAACAAAGACAAAAGCAGCACCCUAAAUAAAAACACGACCAAAGUCCCUCACAAAGUCCACUUCACUCCCCUGCUACCUCCACCAGAGCAGGUGCUGGUAUCUAUGGCUGCAAGACCUGAAGAUAGAUCACAUCACAAAACUCCUUGAAAACACUCCUCAGUACCAGCCUGGAGCCCAGUAGCUCCACUGGGUGGUUAGACCCAGAAGAGUGGAAACAAUCACUACAGUUUAGCUCUCAGGAAGCCCCAUUCCUAGGGGAAGGAGCAGAACACCACAUUAAGGAAGCACCCCGAGGGACAAAAGAAUCUGAACAGCAGACCUUGAAUCCCAGAGCUUCCCAUCGACAUAGUCUACCCAAAUAAGAAGGAACCAGAAAAACAAUUCUGAUUCUUUAAUACCCCCUGAAAACAAGGUUCUUUAAUACCCCCUGAAAAUUAUACCAGCUCACCAAGAAUGGAUCCAAACUAAGAUGAAAUCUCUGAAUUGCCAAAAAAUAAUUAAUAAGGUCGAUUAUUAAGCUAAUCAAGGAGGCACAAGAGAAAGGUUAAGUCCAACUUAAAUAAAAAGCAUGAUACAGGAUAUAAAAAGAAAAUUCUUCAGUGAGAUAGAUAGCAUAAAUAAAAAACAAUAUAA
ensembl:lncRNA LINC01322 long intergenic non-protein coding RNA 1322